rnacentral:lncRNA from 10 species
AUUUUGGACAGCUGUAGUGACUCAAUAUUUCAAAUAAAACUCUAGGUUUACUAAAAACAGUGUGAUGGGCAGCCAGAACUUCUGCUUCUAGGCAGGCUGUAUCAGAUCACAGAAAGCCAAUUUCUGUGGAGUUGUUUUUUGUUUUUUCCUAUGAACAUCAAUUUGCUUCAGUACCAUUUGUUGACAAAACUAUCCUUCCUCCACUGUAUUGCAUGGGGUAUUUCUGGGUCCUCUAUUGUCUUCCAUUGAUUGAUGUGUCUUUCCAUCCACCAAUACCCCACAGUCAUAAUUACUAUAGCUGUAUUCUUGAAAUUAGGCAGUGAUUCCUCCCACUUUAAUCUUCUUUUUUUUUUUUUUUUGAGAUGGAGUCUCGCUCUG